UUGUUUGUUUGUUUGGGGGGUUUUUUAUUCACAAAUUUUUGUACAAAUUCUGAGAAACUUCUGUGCCUUUCAUGUUCUGAAUGUGGUCACAGACCUUCCUUGGUACAGUAAAAUAUCCAUGUGCUUGUGUAACACGUUUCCUGUGCUUUUUCCCAGCUGAAGCUCUGAUGACAGCAAGGCAACGUGGUGUGGUGUACCAGGCUGGAAAGACACCUACUGACUGGAAAGCCUGUGGUGCAGAGACUGUACAGAACAUUGAGCUGGCUGGGAGGGCUACAGACUCAAAGGAAAUGGCCAGUGGAGAAAUCUUCCUGCCUAAGGGGAAAUCCUGAAAGGAUGUCUGCUAUAAUGUGUCUUAGUCAUGCUCAGGUCAAGAAGAGCAAAAAACCCCACAUCUAAUAAUGCAAAUGUGAGCUUGCCUCAGCCCUGUGUUCCCUUGCCAAAGGGGAGUGAGAGGGCUCUUUCCAGCCCCUGAAUGCUCCUAGGACAUCCAUGAUCUACAUGGCAGCUGGCCUGGGUCUGCCUCUUCUCGCUGUGUGUUCGUCCUGCCCAUGGUGCUCACCUACACCAGAAUGUGCAUUUGGCAGCUUUUCCAUUCCAGGUGUAAACAUUUCUCAGGUUUAUCACCUCUGCUUUCUGGAAAUGGACAUUCAUUUUGGGAAACAAGGGGAAGAGCAGCAUUCUGCCAGGCACAAACUGACUCAGUGGGAUGUCUGGACUGAACCAUAGGCAAGAAUCUCUCCUCCCAAGCAGAGAAGAUUCCUGGAAGAAGCUCAUGCUGGAGUGCAGAAGGGAGUGGGCAAACCCAAGAUACUGAGGCAUCAAAUACACCAGAGGUGGUGAAUGGAGAGAUAAACUGGUGAAAAUAGAGAAGGAAUGUUUAUUGAUAUGAUGGUAGGUGCUUUAUACGUAUAAAACUUACAUAUCUAUAUAAAACCUCACCUUACCCAGAGUUGAGUUUUUAAUUGCCAACCCUUAGAGACCUAGAAAGGUCACAAAAAAAUAUGACAGAAGGCACAGAAGAUAAAGAUGGUUAGCAUGAUUAGAGUUCAUGUGCAGGCAGGAAAACAAAGAGUCCAGAAAUAUCUUGCUAAGGAAUAACAGGGUUUUUAAAGCAAGACUUGAUGUUUAUUAGUGGAAAGGCAAAAACCCUUUACUUUUAGCCAAAGACUGCCUGAUCUGCUAUCUUACACGUUAUUUUAGCAACACUACCAAAGCAAGAUUUCCUGUGUGUCACUUCAGCUUGCAGACUCAGGAGCUGCCUUUGUUUCGGGCAGAGGCAGGCUAAUGUGAGAUGCUGAGGUUUGGCUGAUGUGUCAGAUCCGGCAGCCCUGUGAUGAGGGAAGGUUGUGGCAACAGCCAGCUGGAAAUCCCACGUUUGGGACAAGGCCUGGUGCACAAAGUGCAGGAGCAAGGGACAUCUGCAGGGUGCCCUGGCUGCUGCUGGGUGUCCUCCCUGCCUGAGUGGGCAGUGAGUGCAGCUGCAGCUUUGGGGAACCACAGCCACAGCAUUUCUCUUCUGACUCCUCAGGUGUUUACUGCUGGCUGAGCACCCCCAUGGCUUGCUUUCUCCAGCAGGCUCAGCAGCAGCCUGUUUCAUCCAAGCAGGUUGAAAUCAAAACCCUGUGUUUGUCUCUACAGGCCUCUGGAAGAGAACAGUAAUCAAAACUGAUUUAAUAUUCUUGGGCUGCACAUCAGAACUUACCCUCAGAGGAUACAAUGUUCUAAACCCCGAAAGCCACUCGAAUGGGUGGAUAAAACACAACAAAACCACUCUAAACCAAAAGCCUAAUCUGUAAAUCUCUGGAGAGAAUAUUAGCUUUUUAUUGUUUCCCUAUCAAUAAAAUGCAGGAAACAGUCCUAAAUGCCUUGCCUCUACAACUUCCCAUUAUUUAUCAAAUCAAAUGUCCUUUCUUCCAGGCUUUUUGGUUUGCUCCUGUAGAAAGAUUAUGCAAACAUGUUCUACAGUUCAGUAUAUGGAAAACAGAACAGAUCCAAACUCUGUUCAAUCAAAUGCAAAGUGCCUUCAUGUGCUGCUGCUUCGGAGUGUGAGCUCUCAGAAAAGGCAAUGCACUGAACUGUAUUAUGAACUAAGAGUAUGAAAACACCCAGGUAGUCUUGGAAAAAUGAUUAAUCAAACUGAAGAAACUAAAAUCUGCAAAAACCAAUCCCAGGCAGAAUGCAGAGCCAGCGCCAGGUAUCCAGAAGAAUGAGUCAGUAAUAAAGAAAACUACAGCUUGUAACCAAAAUGCCUCAAGCUGUUUGCAUUAAGUUAACUUGAAUAAACUAUGUGUUUCCUGAAGAGCGUGACCAAAAACUCACCGAGAACAUGGAUCUCCGAGUAGGUUAUGGCUAAAAGCCUGACUAAUGUUUUAUGUGUCUUUUUGUUUCCUAUCCAAAAGGAUGUUUGUUUGUUUUUACUCAUUUCUUACUCAUAAAAAAACCCCAACAAACCAACAACCCAGUGAACUUAAGUUGGGUUUACAAUACAGGAUUCAUUUAUCAUUUGUUAGGGAGCAUUUCCUCUAGACUGUAGACAAAUCGUUUCCCAGCACAAAAAAAUCUGUAUUGAUGUGGUCAAGAUUUAAAAUUUGGUAAUGUACUUCCUCUACUGGGGAUGUUCUGAAUUUCUUCAGUGCAGUGAAUCAUUCUGGUGGUGGAACCAAACUCAACUUACUUAUGUUGAAUCUCAAAAGAACAACAAAAACUUUCCCAAAUUUGAAAAUAUCACUGAAAAAGAAUAAAAGCGUAAUUCUCUUCAGCCAUUAUGGGCUGCCAUAAUUUGAAUCACAUGGGAAAAUGCUUUGUUAAUGGCUUUCUUCUUUUACUCUUCAUUGGCAACAAACCAAACCCUUUUCUUUGUUCUUUUUCUUUAUGCAUGGCCUUUCCAUCUGGGUUUAGAAGAAGCUGGUCCUGUGGGUUAGCAAAGAUUCUGAAGUAAUAGAGAUCUGGGGUCAUUUCUACAGAUUUCCCGAACAGCCAUGGACUGACCACUUUACCUCCAUUACUAUUCUGUACAAUGGUAAUAUUCCACUUUACCUCAGGAGGUUGUUGCUAGAAAAUCUAUUUAUUGCUAUAAGAUCUCCAGCUACCAUAGGAUUAUUCAAGGCAUAUACAGAGUUUGUAUUUUUCCUUACAAGUGUGUGCUGUGUAGAUUUUAA